rnacentral:rRNA from 1 species
UUCGCCCUUAGAGUUUGAUCCUGGCUCAGGAUGAACGCUGGCGGCGUGCCUAAUACAUGCAAGUCGAACGAAUCUUCUUCGGAAGAUGAGUGGCGAACGGGUGAGUAAUACAUAGGUAACCUGCCCCUGUGCGGGGGAUAACAGGAGGAAACUCCUGCUAAUACCGCAUAGCCAUGAGCACCGCAUGGAGCUCAUGCCAAAUAUCCUUCAGGGGAUAGCGCAGGGAUGGACCUAUGGCGCAUUAGCUAGUUGGCGGGGCAACGGCCCACCAAGGCAACGAUGCGUAGCCGGCCUGAGAGGGCGGACGGCCACAUUGGGACUGAGACACGGCCCAGACUCCUACGGGAGGCAGCAGUAGGGAAUUUUCGGCAAUGGGGGAAACCCUGACCGAGCAACGCCGCGUGAGCGAAGAAGGCCUUCGGGUCGUAAAGCUCUGUUGUAAAGGAAGAACGUCGCAUGCAGGAAAUGGUGUGCGAGUGACGGUACUUUACCAGAAAGCCACGGCUAACUACGUGCCAGCAGCCGCGGUAAUACGUAGGUGGCGAGCGUUAUCCGGAAUCAUUGGGCGUAAAGAGGGAGCAGGCGGCCGCAAGGGUCUGUGGUGAAAGACCGAAGCUAAACUUCGGUAAGCCAUGGAAACCGGGCGGCUAGAGUGCGGAAGAGGAUCGUGGAAUUCCAUGUGUAGCGGUGAAAUGCGUAGAUAUAUGGAGGAACACCAGUGGCGAAGGCGACGGUCUGGGCCGCAACUGACGCUCAUUCCCGAAAGCGUGGGGAGCAAAUAGGAUUAGAUACCCUGGUAGUCCACGCCGUAAACGAUGAGUACUAGGUGUCGGGGGUUACCCCCCUCGGUGCCGCAGCUAACGCAUUAAGUACUCCGCCUGGGGAGUACGCUCGCAAGAGUGAAACUCAAAGGAAUUGACGGAA